rnacentral:rRNA from 1 species
CGCUGGCGGCGUGCCUAAUACAUGCAAGUCGAACGGUCGUUUCUAUGGAAGCUUGCUUCCACUGAGAAGAUAGUGGCGAACGGGUGAGUAACACGUGGGUAACCUAGCCCAGUAAGAGGGGGAGUAACAUCCGGAAACGGGUGCUAAUACCGCAUAGUUUUCUUGAUCGCAUGAUCGGGAAAGGAAAGACGGCCUUUGUGCUGUCGCUUAUGGAUGGACCCGCGGCGUAUUAGUUAGUUGGUGAGGUAACGGCUCACCAAGACGAUGAUACGUAGCCGACCUGAGAGGGUGAUCGGCCACAUUGGGACUGAGACACGGCCCAAACUCCUACGGGAGGCAGCAGUAGGGAAUCUUCCGCAAUGGACGAAAGUCUGACGGAGCAACGCCGCGUGAGUGAAAGAAGGUUUUCGGAUCGUAAAACUCUGUUGUCAGAGAAGAACAAGUUGGAGAGUAACUGCUCCAGCCUUGACGGUAUCUGACCAGAAAGCCACGGCUAACUACGUGCCAGCCGCCGC